UUCGCGAGUUUAAAAAAAGUUCGCGAACGAUGAAUUUGGAAAAAAUAUUCAUGACUUUAAAAAAAUGUUCGCGAACGAUGAAUUUGGAAAAAAUAUUCGUGACUUUAAUAAAAUGUUCGCGAACUAUGAAUUCGGAAAAAAUAUUUGCGACUUUAAUAAAAAGUUCACUAACAUUUUUUAAAGUCACGAAUUUUUGUGGUUCGCGAACAUUUUUUCCAUACCCACGAACAAUAUUUGUGGUUCGCGAACAUAUUUUCAAAUUUAUUGUUUGUUAACUUUUUUAAAGUCGCGAUUAUUUUUCCCAUAUUCGCGGACAUUUUUUUGAAUUAAUGAACAUUUUUACUAUUCACGCACCAGGGGUAUCUUUGAUGCCAAAGUUUUUCAGAUUUUUUUGUUCAUAUUUUUUUAUUUUUGGCACUGUUCACCAUGCCAGCUGGCCAUUUAGAGGGUGUUAGUGAGAUUUUGGACCUGGAUGACACACUUACUGUACUUCAAGGACCUAAAUGACGAUUUUCAUAGUUCGAGGACCUAUGUGACACCCCUGAAAUAGUUUAAGGACCUACAGUGCACUUCACUCUAAAUCUGGUAAGUACGUGUUAAACUUCUCGAACCUUAUUGAACUGAGAAAUAUAAAGAAAACCAAUGUGAUCCUCAGCUAAUGCCAUUCCAUUCAUGGACGAAAUUUAAUAUGCAUUUUUUUUGUUUCUUGUGCAGGUGUUCUUAUGCUUGUUCUAGUUGGUUUCAAGAUACUUUGCAGUUACAUUUUGGUCAUCAUUCACAAGAACUUGCUGGUGUACUUGUUCAGCUGUGAGGAUCAUAAUGGGGGAAUAACUGAUAUUUUGCUGAUUUGCUAUUGAAAUUAAGGAACUUUUUACAAGAAUACCUUUCUUACCAUCUCAGUGCUUGCAUGGAGCAAAUUGAGAUCUCGGGCUUUCACUAAUUGACGUGGCAUGUGGACAACUUUGGAAUUCAACAAUCCAGUGGUAGCAGGUUUGUGGAAAGGUCAGUAAACCCCUGCUGAAAUUCAUGAUGGGUUUAGCUAUGUUAGAUUGUAUUCAAUGUGCAAUUGUCGAACUCUUAUUGCCUCAUGAGACCUAGGUUAGAGAACUUCCUGCUUUCUUGAUAAGUUGGCAGUCUAGCUUUUGAGCACUCUCGUUAUCUCUAAAUUCAUUGCCAUGCUGAAUUAAAUAACACAAGAGAGUUUUCAGCUAAUACGUAUAGUCGUAAAGGUAGAGAACACUUGUUACUAGGUGAUUGAUGAAUAUUGAUUGAGCAAAAAGACUCGAGCUUGCUAAUUUUUAUUCCUAGAACCUCCUGAGUUAAAUGUGGUGAAGGUGAUUUUAUUCGCUUCUUGAUCCGGAGUAUUUUUCUGUCCCACCAAUGCCAAAAACAGCAGAUUUCAUUAGCCUUCGGUUAUUGCAAUCUGAAUAUUUAGUGCGUAUUGUUAAAUUCGAUGUUCCUCUAAUCUGAAGUCUCUGAAAACCAGUCAUUCUUUUUGCGUAACUUUAUGGUUGCUUGCCUCUUCAACACUCGGCAAUGCAUUCCUUCGUCAGGAUAUUACAAACUUUGCCAGUGUACAUAUACAAAUCCCAGAAAAUAAACCAUUUCCUCCAUGUAUUCACACCAUACCUACCUAUAUAGCCCAUCCCUCACUAUCCCACAGUAGUUGACUAUUCCAUAAGCACACUCAUCAAGUUAAAGAAGACUCAAAAGCGCUUUGUUAUCAUUGACCCUGCAAAUUUCAUCAUUAUGAAGAGCUAUGUUCGUCAAUACUGAUGGCUCUCUCACAAAAAUCAGAAAGAAAUAAAGAAAAAGAGUGAGGGCAUCUAUUCAAAAGAUCAAAGGUUCAUCCUCAAGCAGGAAGAAAUAGUCAGCGGUGCUUCCAUACUCAUGUGCAGAAUGCAGAAUGCUAAUCAAACUACUACCUAUGCGAUAUUGAUAGCUUGAGCAUCAGUUGCAUCCUGACAUCACCUUGCAUUGCAUAGGCAUCUCAAUCAAUUUUUUUUUGCGUGAGUCUAUUCCCUUCCACAUCCCUGGACACUACUUUUUCCAAUGACUGGAACACGGAGACUUCUUUGUACUGGAGUUGAACUCUUAUUUAGCUUUACAAUCUAGAUUUCAGAUUUGCUCAUUCUGUGAAUUACCAUACCAAGCUCCAGAUAAGCUCUCCACAGAUAUAAAGUAGAUAGGAAAACACUUUGGCCAAUGGCCAGUGAGGACUAUAAUUAUGUGAUGAGAGUAAUUCCGGAUCAUGAGGUAAUUUCACUGGUUGCCUGCUUUUGGGAGGUUAACGAAAGGAAAAAAUUGUUGGCUACUCUUGUUUCCUAUUGUUCUUGAAAAUGAAGUCAAACAAGCUAGUGACAUAGUGUUAAAAACUUUGAAAGCUGUACUGUUGAUGCUGACCACUCUCGUAAAAUGAAACCCGUUCCCAGAACUGUACAGUUCCCUCAUGGCAAUGAAGAGGAGUUGUUAUUUUAGCAUGUGCUCAUUUGUUAGCUUGCUGCUUUGAUAAGUUUGCGGGAAGUGUCUCUGUCCGAAGUUCAUGGGGAUUUUAAGAAUUGUUUGCACAUGAGCACUUGUGUGCAACCUCUCUAUGCUAAGCUUUCAGGAAUUUCAGAAGUACAGAAGGGCAAUUUGAAUCAGGAGCGCAGGUCCUGUAAAGAAAUGUGGUCUGCCAUGCACCACAAUUUCAGAUCUAUUUUUCCUUGAGGGGAGUAAGCAAGGGAAAAGCCUGGGAUAAAUCAUACAUGUAUUUCUCGUUGUAUCAAGGAAGUAUAUAGUGAAGAGAGAAUGUAUAGUGACCCCAAUUCUUUUUCCCCCACUUCUCCAAUGAUGAAUGGUAGUAAAGCGGACCAAAUUUUUCAUUCAUUCUCCUCAGUAUGUGCAUCUAUUUUCCGUCAACGCAAUUCUUUGCAACAUUGUCGUGCCAAAAAUGCUUCACCGAUUUUGAUUUGACCUUUCCGGCCCCCUUUAGAUACAAAACUAGAAACUGUGGCUCUGGCUAAAAUAACAAGUGCCGGUGUGCUUUCAUGCUAGUUUUGCUCUUUGCUUGCCAAGAGCAAAUCCUCUGAUUUUGUAUUGACAACAGAGUGUGUUGGACGCUACGCUAAGCUUUCAGGAAUUUCAGAAGCACAUGGGCAAUCUGAAUCAGGAGCCUGAAUCCUGGGACGAAAUCUGGUCUGCCAUCUAGUGCGAUUUGAGGCAAGAGGGUGAGCAUCAGCAAGGAGAA